rnacentral:tRNA from 1 species
AGCUUCAUAGCUCAGUUGGUGGGAGCAUCGCACCGUUAUCACGAGAUCACAGGUUCAAACCCCGUUGAAGUCC